rnacentral:rRNA from 1 species
UCUUGGCCAGCCUUCUGAAAGGAAGAUUAAUACAAGAUGGCAUCAUGAGUCCGCAUGUUCGCACGAUUAAAGGUAUUCCGGUAGACGAUGGGGAUGCGUUCCAUUAGAUAGUAGGCGGGGUAACGGCCCACCUAGUCUUCGAUGGAUAGGGGUUCUGAGAGGAAGGUCCCCCACAUUGGAACUGAGACACGGUCCAAACUCCUACGGGAGGCAGCAGUGAGGAAUAUUGGUCAAUGGGCGAGAGCCUGAACCAGCCAAGUAGCGUGAAGGAUGACUGCCCUAUGGGUUGUAAACUUCUUUUAUAAAGGAAUAAAGUCGGGUAUGCAUACCCGUUUGCAUGCACUUUAUGAAUAAGGAUCGGCUAACUCCGUGCCAGCAGCCGCGGUAAUACGGAGGAUCCGAGCGUUAUCCGGAUUUAUUGGGUUUAAAGGGAGCGUAGAUGGAUGUUUAAGUCAGUUGUGAAAGUUUGCGGCUCAACCGUAAAAUUGCAGUUGAUACUGGAUAUCUUGAGUGCAGUUGAGGCAGGCGGAAUUCGUGGUGUAGCGGUGAAAUGCUUAGAUAUCACGAAGAACUCCGAUUGCGAAGGCAGCCUGCUAAGCUGCAACUGACAUUGAGGCUCGAAAGUGUGGGUAUCAAACAGGAUUAGAUACCCUGGUAGUCCACACGGUAAACGAUGAAUACUCGCUGUUUGCGAUAUACGGCAAGCGGCCAAGCGAAAGCGUUAAGUAUUCCACCUGGGGAGUACGCCGGCAACGGUGAAACUCAAAGGAAUUGACGGGGGCCCGCACAAGCGGAGGAACAUGUGGUUUAAUUCGAUGAUACGCGAGGAACCUUACCCGGGCUUAAAUUGCAGAUGAAUUACGGUGAAAGCCGUAAGCCGCAAGGCAUCUGUGAAGGUGCUGCAUGGUUGUCGUCAGCUCGUGCCGUGAGGUGUCGGCUUAAGUGCCAUAACGAGCGCAACCCUUGUUGUCAGUUACUAACAGGUCAUGCUGAGGACUCUGACAAGACUGCCAUCGUAAGAUGUGAGGAAGGUGGGGAUGACGUCAAAUCAGCACGGCCCUUACGUCCGGGGCUACACACGUGUUACAAUGGGGGGGUACAGAGGGCCGCUACCACGCGAGUGGAUGCCAAUCCCCAAAACCUCUCUCAGUUCGGACUGGAGUCUGCAACCCGACUCCACGAAGCUGGAUUCGCUAGUAAUCGCGCAUCAGCCACGGCGCGGUGAAUACGUUCCCGGGCCUUGUACACACCGCCCGUCAAGCCAUGGGAGCCGGGGGUACCUGAAGUGCGUAACCGCGAGG